AUUUAACCUGUGUGUGUAUGGUGUUCAGCAUCAAGGACAGGUGUGUUAGCCUGUGUGUGGAUGGUGUUUAGCACCAGUGAUGUUAUGAAAGUCC
rnacentral:pre_miRNA from 1 species